UGCGGGAUCGUCUAAUGGUAGGACAAUAGCCUUUGAAGCUAUGUAUCUUGGUCCGAAUCCAAGUCCCGCAA
rnacentral:tRNA from 1 species